AUUAUCACCUUUUUAGCUCACCUGACCUGAAAGGUCAAGUGAGCUUUUCUCAUCACUUGGCGUCCGUCGUCCGUCGUCCUGCGUCCGUCGUCCGUAAACUUUUACAAAAAUCUUCUCCUCUGAAACUACUUGGCCAAAUUCUACCAAACUUGGCACAAAUCAUCCUUGGGGUAUCUAGUUUAAAAAAUGUGUGGCGUGACCCGUCAAACCUACCAAGAUGGCCGCCAUGGCUAAAAAUAGAACAUAGGGG
rnacentral:lncRNA from 1 species